AUUGAACGCUGGCGGCAGGCCUAACACAUGCAAGUCGAACGAGUGGCGGACGGGUGAGUAAUGUCUGGGAAACUGCCUGAUGGAGGGGGAUAACUACUGGAAACGGUAGCUAAUACCGCAUACCAUCGGAUGUGCCCAGAGGGGAUUAGCUAGUAGGUGGGGUAAAGGCUCACCUAGGCGACGAUCCCUAGCUGGUCUGAGAGGAUGACCAUCCACACUGGAACUGAGACACGGUCCAGACUCCUACGGGAGGCAGCAGUGGUGAAUAUUGGACAAGGGGCGCAAGCCGUAUGCAGCCAUGCCGCGUGUGUGAAGAAGGCCUUCGGGUUGUAAAGCACUUUCAGCGAGGAGGCGUUACUCGCAGAAGAAGCACCGGCUAACUCCGUGCCAGCAGCCGCGGUAAUUC
rnacentral:rRNA from 1 species